rnacentral:rRNA from 1 species
GGAUGCGAUCAUACCAGCACUGAAGCACCAGAUCCCAUCAGAACUCCGAAGUUAAGCGUGCUUGGCGAGAGUAGUACUAGGAUGGGUGACCUCCUGGGAAGUCCUCGUGUUGCAUUCCC